CAAAUAUAAGAAUAACUAAUUUAAGUAAAAGUGUUGUUGUCGCACCGAUUCAGGUUGGACCAAUGUUU